CAUACGGGUGGCAGCAGGGGGGAAUAUUGCGCAAUGGGCGAAAGCCUGACGCAGCGACGCCGCGUGAGGGCUGAAGGUCUUCGGAUCGUAAACCUCUGUCAGCAGGGAAGAACGGUCACUGGGCUAAUCAGCAGUGAAUUGACGGUACCUGAAAAGGAAGCACCGGCUAACUCCGUGCCAGCAGCCGCGGUAAUACGGAGGGUGCGAGCGUUAAUCGGAAUUACUGGGCGUAAAGCGCUCGUAGGCGGUAUGUCAAGUCAAGGGUGAAAGCCCCGCGCUCAAGGUGGGAACUGCCUUGGCAACUGGCAAACUGGAGAGUGUGAGAGGAUAGUGGAAUUCCAGGUGUAGGAGUGAAAUCCGUAGAUAUCUGGAGGAACAUCAGUGGCGAAGGCGACUAUCUGGCACAUAACUGACGCUGAGGAGCGAAAGCGUGGGUAGCAAACAGGAUUAGAUACCCUAGUAGUC
rnacentral:rRNA from 1 species